CUCCUGAACCGAAUGUAAAAGGAUGGCUUCUUGCUAUCGCUUACAGAUGGGCCCGCGGCGCAUUAGCUAGUUGGUAAGGUAACGGCUUACCAAGGCGACGAUGCGUAGCCGACCUGAGAGGGUGAUCGGCCACACUGGGACUGAGACACGGCCCAGACUCCUACGGGAGGCAGCAGUAGGGAAUCUUCCGCAAUGGACGAAAGUCUGACGGAGCAACGCCGCGUGAACGAUGAAGGUCUUCGGAUCGUAAAGUUCUGUUGUGAGGGAAGAACAAGGAUCGUGCGAACAGAACGGUCCCUUGACGGUACCUCACGAGGAAGCCCCGGCUAACUACGUGCCAGCAGCCGCGGUAAUACGUAGGGGGCAAGCGUUGUCCGGAAUUAUUGGGCGUAAAGCGCACGCAG
rnacentral:rRNA from 1 species